rnacentral:tRNA from 1 species
GUCUUCGCAGUGUAACGAUAACAUACUCGGCUCAUAUUCGAGAGGUCCAGGUUAGAGUCCUGGCGAGGGCA